rnacentral:rRNA from 1 species
AGUGAACGCUGGCGGUAGGCCUAACACAUGCAAGUCGAACGGCAGCACAGUAAGAGCUUGCUCUUACGGGUGGCGAGUGGCGGACGGGUGAGGAAUACAUCGGAAUCUACUUUUUCGUGGGGGAUAACGUAGGGAAACUUACGCUAAUACCGCAUACGACCUACGGGUGAAAGCAGGGGAUCUUCGGACCCUGCGCGAUUGAAUGAGCCGAUGUCGGAUUAGCUAGUUGGCGGGGUAAAGGCCCACCAAGGCGACGAUCCGUAGCUGGUCUGAGAAGAUGACCAGGCACACUGGAACUGAGACACGGUCCAGACUCCUAAGGGAGGCAGCAGUGGGGAAAAUUUGACAAUGGGCGCAAGCCUGAUCCAGCCAUACCGCGUGGGUGAAGAAGGCCUUCGGGUUGUAAAGCCCUUUUGUUGGGAAAGAAAAGCAGCAGGUUAAAAACCCGCUGUUCUGACGGUACCCAAAGAAUAAGCACCGGCUAACUUCGUG